UGUCUAAAGAAGAAAAAAAAGUUUAAAGAGUUGACAAGUCUAUGUAACGCUGUCACUGAAGCUGCUUUAAAGUCAAAUAAAAAUUUAACCAAAAUGGAUGCUAUCCAUCUUAUUGGGAGAGUAGUUAGGCAUUCUUCUGACCGAAUAAAGAAAACAUCGACUAAUAUGGAUUUCGAUCAUGUUGGCUUAA